GGAGUUGUACCCAAGAGGCUAUAAGGGGGUGGUCUUGAAAACCGCUAGGUCGGGCAACCGGCACCUGGGUUCGAAUCCCAGCAGCUCCG
rnacentral:tRNA from 1 species